AGUGAACGCUGGCGGUAGGCCUAACACAUGCAAGUCGAACGGCAGCACAGUAAGAGCUUGCUCUUACGGGUGGCGAGUGGCGGACGGGUGAGGAAUACAUCGGAAUCUACUUUUUCGUGGGGGAUAACGUAGGGAAACUUACGCUAAUACCGCAUACGACCUACGGGUGAAAGCAGUGGAUCUUCGGACCUUGCGCGAUUGAAUGAGCCGAUGUCGGAUUAGCUAGUUGGCGGGGUAAAGGCCCACCAAGGCGACGAUCCGUAGCUGGUCUGAGAGGAUGGUCGGCCACACUGGAACUGAGACGCGGUCCAGACUCCUACGGGAGGCAGCAGUGGGGAAUAUUGGACAAUGGGCGCAAGCCUGAUCCAGCCAGACCGCGUGGGUGAAGAAGGCCUUCGGUUUGUAAAGCCCUUUUUUUGGGAAAGAAAAGCAGCAGGUUAAUACCCCGCUGUUCUGACGGUACCCAAAAAAUAAGCACCGGCUAACUUCGUG
rnacentral:rRNA from 1 species